AAUGAACGUUGGCGGCGUGGAUUAGGCAUGCAAGUCGAGCGCGAUAUGUAGCAAUACAUGGAGAGCGGCGAAAGGGAGAGUAAUACGUAGGUAUCUACCCUCGGGUCUGGGAUAGCAGCGGGAAACUGCUGGUAAUACCAGAUAACGUCUCCGGACCAAAGGUGUGAUUCCACCUGAGGAGGAGCCUACGGCCUAUUAGCUAGUUGGUAGGGUAACGGCCUACCAAGGCAAAGAUGGGUAUGGGGUGUGAGAGCAUGCCCCCACUCACUGGGACUGAGACACUGCCCAGACACCUACGGGUGGCUGCAGUCGAG
rnacentral:rRNA from 1 species